rnacentral:rRNA from 1 species
CACGUAGGGUGCGAGCGUUGUCCGGAAUUAUUGGGCGUAAAGAGCUCGUAGGCGGUGUGUCGCGUCGGCCGUGAAAACCUGCAGCUUAACUGUGGGCGUGCGGUCGAUACGGGCAUCACUGGAGUUCGGCAGGGGAGACUGGAAUUCCUGGUGUAGCGGUGAAAUGCGCAGAUAUCAGGAGGAACACCGGCGGCGAAGGCGGGUCUCUGGGCCGAUACUGACGCUGAGGAGCGAAAGCGUGGGGAGCGAACAGG